rnacentral:rRNA from 1 species
AUUGAACGCUGGCGGCAUGCCUUACACAUGCAAGUCGAACGGCAGCGGGGGAGAAGCUUGCUUUUCCUGCCGGCGAGUGGCGAACGGGUGAGUAAUACAUCGGAACGUGCCCUGUAGUGGGGGAUAACUAGUCGAAAGAUUAGCUAAUACCGCAUACGACCUGAGGGUGAAAGUGGGGGACCGCAAGGCCUCAUGCUAUAGGAGCGGCCGAUGUCUGAUUAGCUAGUUGGUGGGGUAAAGACCUACCAAGGCGUCGAUCAGUAGCCGGUCUGAGAGGACGAUCAGCCACACUGGGACUGAGACACGGCCCAGACUCCUACGGGAGGCAGCAGUGGGGAAUUUUGGACAAUGGGCGAAAGCCUGAUCCAGCAAUGCCGCGUGUGUGAAGAAGGCCUUCGGGUUGUAAAGCACUUUUGUCCGGAAAGAAAUGGCUCUGGUUAAUACCUGGGGUCGAUGACGGUACCGGAAGAAUAAGGACCGGCUAACUACGUGCCAGCAGCCGCAGUAA